GUGGGGAAUAUUGGACAAUGGGCGCAAGCCUGAUCCAGCCAUGCCGCGUGAGUGAUGAAGGCCUUAGGGUUGUAAAGCUCUUUCAGUGGGGACGAUAAUGACGGUACCCACAGAAGAAGCCCCGGCUAACUUCGUGCCAGCAGCCGCGGUAAUACGAAGGGGGCUAGCGUUGUUCGGAUUUACUGGGCGUAAAGCGCACGUAGGCGGAGUGGUCAGUUAGAGGUGAAAUCCUGGAGCUCAACUCCAGAACUGCCUUUAAUACUGCCAGUCUAGAGUCCAGAAGAGGUGAGUGGAACUCCUAGUGUAGAGGUGGAAUUCGUAGAUAUUAGGAAGAACACCAGUGGCGAAGGCGGCUCACUGGUCUGGUACUGACGCUGAGGUGCGAAAGCGUGGGGAGCAAACAGGAUUAGAAACCCUAGUAGUCC
rnacentral:rRNA from 1 species